rnacentral:tRNA from 1 species
GUAGAAAUGUGGCCGAGUAGGUGUUAGUCUCUUAAAUUAAUUACGAGAAAAAUAGUUAAGU